rnacentral:rRNA from 1 species
GUGAACGGCCACAUUGGGACUGAGACACGGCCCAGACUCCUACGGGAGGCAGCAGUGGGGAAUAUUGCACAAUGGGGGAAACCCUGAUGCAGCGACGCCGCGUGAGGGAAGAAGUAUUUCGGUAUGUAAAGCUCUAUCAGCAGGGAAGAUAAUGACGGUACCUGACUAAGAAGCCCCGGCUAACUACGUGCCAGCAGCCGCGGU